GCUUCGGUAGCUCAAGAUUAAAGAGCGUGGCGCUGAAGAUGCUAAGGUGGGGAAAAUCCCCCUGGGGCA
rnacentral:tRNA from 1 species